GACACUCUUCAUAGACUGCUGCAGAAAACUGCUGAAUUGUGAAGGUCUUCUGUGACGUUGAUACAUUGAUGGAUUCCAGGAUGGCCAUCCAUGUGGUUUUGUUACUAACACUUUUUACUGGGCUGAGUGUCGCUGAUUCGAAAGGGAAUCUUGCUCUUAAUGCCAGGGUGGUGCAGUCCUCCUUAGGCCACUCACAGGGAGAUGCUGAACAUGCAGUAGAUGGAAACAGAGAUGCAAAUUACGGGAAGGGCUCAUGCACUCACACUAAAGCUGAGUUUAACCCAUGGUGGAGAGCUGAC